UUUCCGUAGGUGAACCUGCGGAAGGAUCAUUCAUAUUAAAGUGUUUUAUGGCACUUUUUAAAAAUCCAUAUCCACCUUGUGUGCAAUGUUAGAUCUCGUCAAUCUUGGCGAGAUUUUUAUACAUCAACUCAUUCUUUAACUAAUUUGACUGAAAAAUAUUAUGAAUACUUAAUUCAAAAUACAACUUUCAACAACGGAUCUCUUGGCUCUC
rnacentral:misc_RNA from 1 species